GAGCGGGCAGUCGGGGCGGCCCAGCACCGAGGCGCUCCCUCCAUGCCGGGGACACUAGCUCUGGCCGGCUCCCAAUUUUGGAGAUGAACGGCCACAAAGUGCGAUAAACAGGUCACACCUCUCCUCUGCAGAUCGAACCGGGGCGCCGGUGCACGUGUACGGCCGCCGGCACCGCCCUGCAGUCCCCUCGGGCACAGACCGGCCGGGGCCCCUCCGUGCUGCCCGCACCAGGCCCCGCGGCCAUGGCCGCCCCCGGGAACCGUCGGGGGAGGCGACGGCGGAGCGGCGAGGCCGUGUCGCAGGACCCGCGCGCGGCACCUGCCCGGCCCCCGCGGGCUUACCUUGUUGAGGUGCGGCUCCCGCGUCAGCAGGUGCAGAACAUGGGGUACACGUCCUCACCACCCCGCCAAGGGCACAGCUGGUGGGAGAAAGCAGGCCAGGAACCAAACUGGAUGACCACAGCAACCCUGCCCACCCCCUGGAAUGCUUCAAGGCCGGCCUCCUGGGAAACAACGGAACAGUAACUUUUACUCUGGUCCUGGCUGGCUGCCAAUUAAGGGAGUAACUUCUAAGUCUGCCCUGAGUACAGAAAUCAGUCUCCCUCUCCCUGCAGAAGAGAUGACCCAUCUGGGAACCCCCUCCUACCUUCAACCCUCCUGAUAAGGGGUAAUAAAAGUUCCUCUUGAAACUUUGAAGCUGAGCUGGCUCCUGCUCAGAGUCCACUCUGCUUUUUCUCCUUUCUCUACUAAUAAAGCCCUUCUCAUUCCUGGA